GACGAACGCUGGCGGCGUGCUUAACACAUGCAAGUCGAACGGAAAGGCCCUGCUUUUGUGGGGUGCUCGAGUGGCGAACGGGUGAGUAACACGUGAGUAACCUGCCCCUGUCUUUGGGAUAACUUCUGGAAAAUGGGGCUAAUACCGGAUAGGAGCUCCUGCUGCAUGUUGGUGGUUGGAAAGUUUCGGCGGUUGUGGAUGGACUGGCGGCUUAUCAGCUUGUUGGUGGGGUAGUGGCUUACCAAGGCUUUGAAGGGUAGCCGGCCUGGGAGGGUGACCGGCCACAUUGGUACUACGAUACGGACCAGACUCGUACGGGAGGCAGCAGUGGGGAAUAUUGCACAAUGGGCGGAAGCCUGAUGCAGCAACGCCGCGUGCGGGAUGACGGCUUUCGGGUUGUAAACCGCUUUGGCCUGUGACGAAGCGUGAGUGACGGUAAUGGGUAAAGAAGCACCGGCUAACUACGUG
rnacentral:rRNA from 1 species